GACGAACGCUGGCGGCGUGCUUAACACAAGCAAGUCGAACGGAAAGGCCCUGCUUUUGUGGGGUGCUCGAGUGGCGAACGGGUGAGUAACACGUGAGUAACCUGCCCUUGACUUUGGGAUAACUUCAGGAAACUGGGGCUAAUACCGGAUAGGAGCUCCUGCUGCAUGGUGGGGGUUGGAAAGUUUCGGCGGUUGGGGAUGGACUCGCGGCUUAUCAGCUUGUUGGUGGGGUAGUGGCUUACCAAGGCUUUGACGGGUAGCCGGCCUGAGAGGGUGACCGGCCACAUUGGGACUGAGAUACGGCCCAGACUCCUACGGGAGGCAGCAGUGGGGAAUAUUGCACAAUGGGCGGAAGCCUGAUGCAGCAACGCCGCGUGCGGGAUGACGGCCUGCGGGUUGUAAACCGCUUUCGCCUGUGACGAAGCGUGAGUGACGGUAAUGGGUAAAGAAGCACCGGCUAACUACGUG
rnacentral:rRNA from 1 species